CACUAAUCUAAGCAUUAAAAAGAAGUAUAGUUUAUGUUUGCUUGUCGUAGUAGGAACAUAAAAAUGCAAAUGUUUUUUUAUCGUAUUGCCUUUCAAGGUAACUAUCAUUAUUACCCCAAUUUAGCAAAACGAGACAUUCCGCAACGCACUAGCUUUGUUCAUUGGAACGUGAGCAAUAAAUUAACAUGUUGAUUAGACACGUUGCUAGAUGUUUUUUCUAUCUUCACGCCUACACAGGAAGUUACGAGACAAGCAGUAUGUUGCGUCUAUUUCUUAGAUGUAUCUUGAGGUGGCCAAGAAAAUGAAUAAAUGCGUUUACUUCUUCAAAUACUCAUUAUAUUAUUUUUAAUUAAUUUACAAAUAUAGAAUUGAAAUGCG